rnacentral:tRNA from 2 species
GCGCGUAUAGCUCAGCUGGUUAGAGUGUCACAUUGACAUUGUGAAGGUCCCUGGUUCGAGUCCAGGUACGCGCACCA